UACGUAGGUGGCGAGCGUUGUCCGGAAUUACUGGGUGUAAAGGGCGUGUAGGCGGGAAUGCAAGUCAGAUGUGAAAUGCCGGGGCUUAACUCCGGAGCUGCAUCUGAAACUGCGUUUCUUGAGUGCCGGAGAGGAAAGCGGAAUUCCCAGUGUAGCGGUGAAAUGCGUAGAUAUUGGGAGGAACACCAGUGGCGAAGGCGGCUUUCUGGACGGUAACUGACGCUGAGGCGCGAAAGCGUGGGGAGCAAACAGG
rnacentral:rRNA from 1 species